rnacentral:lncRNA from 13 species
CUACAGGAUCUGGAUUGAGAUUUGCCUUUGGAUCAUUCCAAUCUAUCCCACAUCCUCACCUAUUGUGGGAAUAGCUCUGUUUCCAAGGAACAAUCUUCUUUUCCAUGCAGCCACACCCGUGCAGUACAUAAGUCGGAAGCAGAAGUGAAAAGGGGAAGAAAGUUGAAGGACUAAAAAUGAGAGGAGAGAGGGAGAGUGUGGGAGCAAGGCAGGGACCCACCCUAAAAGAGAUCGGAAUACAAGCGCAGCUUUAGUUCAUGGCCUGCCAAAUAGUCGUGCUGCGCCUCUGAAUGGAAAAUGGGAUAGAACAAUGAGCUGGAAUUUACAUCGCCUUUGAAAAGCAAAUGCUGACAGCAGGCGUUCUGAAUAUGCCAAGUAUUGCCUUCAGACCAGAGAAGGCUUUUCUGGCCCACACGAGCCCCGUGACAGCCUGCAGAAGGCAACACACCCUACAUAGCUGUGACCUCCAGCCCUCUGAGCCUUGAGCAUCUCUGGAGAAAAUGUGUGUGUUUAAAAAGGCCACAUCUGUUUCUAGAAGGCUGAAAACAAGAUCCAAGCUCUAUGCCCCCGGAAACUGACCUGUGGACUGCUUCAUGUGGGCUCAUUUGCCCUCUGCUUCUGGCUGGUUUGGCAAUGGAGACAGAGAGAGAUGAGAAGGUGGGCGGAGAGAAAGCUGCCUGUUAAGGACUUUGGCCCAUUUGAAAAAAUUGAACUGGGAAGGCCCGAGCCUCUCUGCCCUGGGAAGAAGGCAGUCUUGACAAGCCACAACUCCUUCACUGGUAGAAAACUCACUCAAGGCAUGUAUCCACACAGCAGUAAGUAAGGUGCAGCAUUCAGAAAGGUGAGAGGAAACAG